rnacentral:rRNA from 1 species
UACGUAGGGUGCGAGCGUUGUCCGGAAUUACUGGGCGUAAAGAGCUUGUAGGUGGUUUGUCGCGUUGUUCGUGAAAUCUCACGGCUCAACUGUGAGCGUGCGGGCGAUACGGGCAGACUAGAGUACUGCAGGGGAGACUGGAAUUCCUGGUGUAGCGGUGGAAUGCGUAGAUAUCGGGAGGAACACCGGUGGCGAAGGCGGCCUUCUGGACGGAUACUGACGCUGAUACGCGAAAGCGUGGGGAGCAAACAGG